ensembl:lncRNA
AUAUAUAAGAUUUUUAGUUUUCUUUUCUUAACUUGAUUAAGAAAAUGCCUGUUCAUUCCGACUUUACUUGCCUAAGUAUAAACUAGUACUGGCCUGGAAAUUGUGAACUGAAUUUUACUACGUCUAGGAAGAUUAAAUGGAGACCCCCCCGCCCACUUCACACUGUAGCUUACAACGGAGAUCAGCGACAGGGUUCCAAGCAAUGUCCGGGCGCCUUUAAGAGGAAGCGCGGUAAUUUUCCACCGCCCCACUGGCCCCGCCCACGCGGUAGGCGGCUGGGCGCGGCGAAGUGCGGCUGCGUGGCGCGGGCCUCCUGUUGCUUGGAAACCACCUCUUCCACCCUUGGAGCCCAAAGUCCUUUUGUUUCCAAGAUGGCCUCUGAGUCCUGUCUUAAAGAGCCAGAUGGUAUAGAAUUUGCCUGCAAUGAAGGAGACCUGGGAAGAUCCCCUGGAGCAGGGAAUGGCAACCCACUCCAGCAUUCUUGCCUGGAGAAUCCCGUGGACAGAGGACCCUGGCGGGCUACAGUUGAAGAGUCGCACAGAGUAGGACACGACUGAACGGCUAACACUUGACUUUGUAUCCCAAAAGUGUUUCUGCCUAUAACAAACCUUGAAAUAAUUCUAAAACUAUGGAGCCUUUAUACUUUGGAAAACACUGUUCUAUGAAGCCGAUUUCCCCAUUUUGUCUCUCAUUUUCAGGGCAUCUUCCCAACCAAGGGAUCAAACUUGUGUUUCUUUCGCCUUAAAUGUGUGGUCUGUCUCUCAAGCUUUUGGACUGAGAUGUCUCAUGAAGGCAGAAGAUCCCACAGCCCAGGAAAAUCUACUGACCCAGUUUCCCAAGGAGAAAACUCACAGACAUCAAGGAGGGGCUCCGUACAUGAAAAUGUGAGGAAUGAAAGAUUUACUUCUGCACUGAGGAGCACAGCAUCUUUGCAACAGAUUACUGAUGAGCCAUGUUCAUUGGUUCUUGUUCACGACCUCCUCCAAAAACCACUGAGACCUGCCACCUUGCUAUGAGGUUUUUCAGCCACUAUGUCAAUGUUGUGUAUCAGGGCACACUGUCUACUAUUAAGAAGUAGCACAGGAAAUAUUUUACAUGAAAAUCCCAUGUAAAUCCCUGAAUUUACAUGAAUCCAGGUCAGAAACUGCUGGUCAAGAAGCUCAUGUUUUGGAUUGAUACAAGAGAGCCAGGUUGUAUUAGUCAGCAUUCUCUAGAGAAACAGAACCAAUCGGGUGUGUGUAUGAGUGUGAAUGAAGAGAGAGAAAGAGACUGGUAUUUUUGUUUGUUUCAUGUCUUAUUGACAAGAGGGGGAAAAAGGGUCACAGCGUUUCAGACUUUAUUCAAAGACGCAAAGAGCACCAAAGGACACCCACAAGUGACAGGCAUGGUCCCUAAGGGCCUGGCUCUAAGGCCAACCUGGAGGGUGUGGGUGACUUCUCAGCCCUUCCUCCCAGACUCUCUCUCUUCCUCCUCCAUGCCUCACGGACACCCCUGAGAUGGACACCCCUGAGUUCAGUUAAAACUGCAGAAGCGAAGUCGCUCUAGAGGAGGUUGGGCCCUGCCUGGCCGGUGUCGCCCACGUGGCAGGCCUGGGCAGCUGGGGAGUGGGGGGCACUGGUUGUGUGACCCCGCUCCCCCAGCCAGUGGCCAGGCCUCUCUCUGAAGUGGUCAGCCGGACUCUCCCAGAGAGAGACUGCUUUCAGGGAAAAAUACACCAACUUGGUUCACAAAGGGCUUGGGUAAAAUGCUUUCCCAGAAACCUUAAG